CGAUCUUGUGACGUCAUUUUCGCUCGCUCUCACUUCCGUUUCACAAUUGUUUACGUUCCCUCGCGUUUUCCUUAUUUCCGUUGAACUGAUCAGCCCACGAGGGAGAAACGUCAAAACGUACCAGUACCUAAGUACGUGCCAAAGUACCAAAGAACCAGAGCCACUACGGACAGCUAUGGCUGAUGCUCAUCGUUGAUUUAGUGUCUUUUGUUUUGUUUGCCAAUUUGUUAUCUUUUAUAUACAUGUAGUUUAUUUUA